rnacentral:rRNA from 1 species
UACGGAGGGGGCUAGCGUUGUUCGGAAUUACUGGGCGUAAAGCGCACGUAGGCGGACGGGAAAGUCAGAGGUGAAAUCCCAGGGCUCAACCCUGGAACUGCCUUUGAAACUCCUUGUCUUGAGGUCGAGAGAGGUGAGUGGAAUUCCGAGUGUAGAGGUGAAAUUCGUAGAUAUUCGGAGGAACACCAGUGGCGAAGGCGGCUCACUGGCUCGAUACUGACGCUGAGGCGCGAAAGCGUGGGGAGCAAACAGG